rnacentral:rRNA from 1 species
AUACGUAGGGAGCGAGCGUUGUCCGGAAUUACUGGGCGUAAAGGGCGCGUAGGCGGCGCUUCAAGUCGUCUGUCAAAUGGAAUGGCUUAACCCUUUUUCGCAGACGAAACUGGAGAGCUUGAGAAGCAGAGAGGCAAACAGAAUUCUUGGUGUAGCGGUGAAAUGCGUAGAUAUCAGGAAGAAUACCAGUGGCGAAGGCGGUUUGCUGGCUGCAUACUGACGCUGAAGCGCGAAAGCCAGGGGAGCGAACGGGAUUAGAUACCCCGGUAGUCCUGGCAGUAAACGAUGUAUGCUGGGUGUGAGACUAGCGAUAGUUUCGUGCCGAAGUUAACGCGAUAAGCAUACCGCCUGGGGAGUACGGUCGCAAGAUUGAAACUCAAAUGAAUUGACGGGG